GAUGAAGAACGCAGCGAAAUGCGAUAAGUAAUGUGAAUUGCAGAAUUCAGUGAAUCAUCGAAUCUUUGAACGCACAUUGCGCCCGCCAGUAUUCUGGCGGGCAUGCCUGUUCGAGCGUCAUUUCAACCAUCAAGCCCCAGGCUUGUGUUGGGGACCUGCGGCUGCCGCAGGCCCUGAAAACCAGUGGCGGGCUCGCUGUCACACCGGGCGUAGUAGAUUUUAUCUCGCUCAGGGCGUGCUGCGGGUUCCGGCCGUUAAAAAGCCUUUUUUACCCAAGGUUGACCUCGGAUCAGGUAGGAAGACCCGCUGAACUUAAGCAUAUCAAUAAGCGGAUGA
rnacentral:misc_RNA from 1 species